rnacentral:rRNA from 1 species
GACGAACGCUGGCGGCGUGCUUAACACAUGCAAGUCGAACGUGAUUUUUGUGGAAAUUCUUUCGGGAAUGGAAAUGAAAUGAAAGUGGCGAACGGGUGAGUAACACGUGAGCAACCUACCUUACACAGGGGGAUAGCCGUUGGAAACGACGAUUAAUACCGCAUGAGACCACAGAAUCGCAUGAUAUAGGGGUCAAAGAUUUAUCGGUGUAAGAAGGGCUCGCGUCUGAUUAGCUAGUUGGAAGGGUAAAGGCCUACCAAGGCGACGAUCAGUAGCCGGUCUGAGAGGAUGAACGGCCACAUUGGAACUGAGACACGGUCCAAACUCCUACGGGAGGCAGCAGUGGGGAAUAUUGCACAAUGGGGGGAACCCUGAUGCAGCGACGCCGCGUGAGCGAAGAAGGUUUUCGAAUCGUAAAGCUCUGUCCUAUGAGAAGAUAAUGACGGUAUC